UACGUAGGUGGCGAGCGUUGUCCGGAUUUAUUGGGCGUAAAGCGAGCGCAGGUGGUUUAUUAAGUCUGGUGUAAAAGGCAGUGGCUCAACCAUUGUAUGCAUUGGAAACUGGUAGACUUGAGUGCAGGAGAGGAGAGUGGAAUUCCAUGUGUAGCGGUGAAAUGCGUAGAUAUAUGGAGGAACACCGGUGGCGAAAGCAGCUCUCUGGCCUGUAACUGACACUGAGGCUCGAAAGCGUGGGGAGCAAACAGG
rnacentral:rRNA from 1 species